AUAAGAGUUGGAGACCUAAACUUGUGUGGGAGAGAUGAUAGAUGUGCUACCACAGGGGAGUGCGUCCACCAUUUUGGUAGAAAGUAGAGAUGUGUCUUUCUUGUAAAGAAGCAGUGCCAGGCCUAGAGGCGUUUGAUCUGCUACCCACGUCAAGUCGGGUGCAUUAGCUUCCAUUGUUGCUAUAACAAACCAGCACCAACCUAGAUGGUGUCUGUGGAAGAUGUCUCAGUUUGCACAUCAGACUAGUGGUCUCCUCAGAACAGCUCUGGUCUCCUUGGCGUUCUUAGUCCUGCAGCCACAGACGAUUUGAAUAGACUUCCUGUCUUCCAGCUCAACUCUUCCCUACUUGUAGAGGGAGCCACAAAGAAGCCGACGGAGAUAAGAAGAUGGUAUCAAAUCCCCUGGAGCUGGAGUUACAGGGGGGUGCGACCAACCAUGUGAAUCUUGGGGUUCAAAUUCAGGUCUUGAACAAGAGCGCACUCAAAGAAUGCAGUACACAUCUUGUGACAGGUGCCCGGUGACCCUGUGCCAACAGGCUGACUCACCUCCCAUGCUGCUAAUGUUCACCAGCCUUCCCUUGGACUUUCUAAGGAGAGGCAGAAACACCUUGGUGACCUCCACAGUUCCGAAGAAGUUCACGGCCAUGCAUUUUCUGUAGAAGGACAUGGGAAUGAGUUCCCCGUCAAUCGGAUAGUGUAAGAUCCCAGCAUUGUUGACCACGGCCCACAGUCCUGGGGGCGGAAAAAAAAGCCAUCUGUGAGGAUGGGAGAAAGCUGGAGCAUGUGGAUAUUUUCACACAUUGAGUUCUGGAGCCACCAAACCUCUUUGAAAACUAGAUUUCAGGCAGAAUACAAACUUUCCCAACUUGGUCUCUUCCUAUGUACUCAAACUACUCCCAUAGUGGAGCAAGGUGAGGAGAACAAACGUGUGUAUUAUUAAACAAUGAUUUUGGUGAUCCCGUA